rnacentral:pre_miRNA from 8 species
AUCCUGGCCCGCAACUUCUCAGCCUGUGGUACUCAAACUGUGGGGGCACUUCCGUUUUACGAAGGGAAGUGCCGCCAUGUUUUGAGUGUUACCGGUUGAGAGAGGAGCUUCCACUUGGU